UAGAAUGCAAGUAUGCGGAAGCUUACUGGAUAGACAUUUUGGAAACACAGAAAAAGCGGUGCUUUGGAGCAAAACAAGGAAGAUGGACCGCUUUUAGAAGAAAGACGAGCUAAAAACAAGGAGGCAGCACAAAAGUGCAGAAAGAAGCAGAAGGAAAAAAUGUACUCUCUCAUGCAGGAAGAGCUGCGUGAAGAGGGUAAAGAAAAGAGCCAAAGGUAUGAAAUAGAAAAACUUCGGGAAGAGAAAGAAAGACUUGAAGAAAUCCUGAAAAUGCAUGAAAAAAGUUUGAACUGUAAACGGCGGCGCAUCGAAGGAUCGGCACGGCCUUACACGUUUCAGUCAAGCACGAUGACAUUUACGCAGUUAACAUAAUACAUGUUUCACUAUUUACCAAAUCAGAUAAAACGUGAUGCGUUGCCAGGUUUGCACUGAUUAUAGUUGUUAUAGACAUUGUGCAAAAUAAAAUAAACGUUAAAGGAAACAUCUUGACUGUAUCGAGGAUCGUGAUAUCAGUAUCGUCUGGUUUUAUUUAAAAAAAAAAUAACAUAGCCCGUUGACAGUAGCAUAUAUAAGAAAUAAAUGGAUAACAAAUGAAACGACAUGUCAAAAUAUUUUAAAUAUAUGACCAGAGCGCUGUCAUAGCUGAGUGGUUAUAGCUUCAUACUGACAACCGCGUGUUUCCCCCCCCCCCCCUUAACAUGUUUUAACAUAUUAAAAUAGCAAUUAAAGACAUUGCACUUUGAGUACCUAUAUCUAGAAAAAAUGUAAGGGAAUUUUGUGAACUUUGUUUUGUCUCAGCCUUCAAUUAAAUAUUGUUAAUAUUUGAAUAACAUUUCUAGUGCUUGAAUUUCGGGCCUAUGUAAAUAUAUAAGACUUUGUUUGGCUCAAAUAUUUGUUAAAUAUUGGUAAAACCUGUAUAUUAUAAUAAUACCUGUUCCCAUUGAAUGGGAAUAAAACUAACUUAACUAUGUGUGAUCUCAUUAGAGCUAAAGUCUGUCAACGUUGUGUCACGAUAGUUAGAAAAGCUUGUAGUUGACAUAAAUGACAUGUAGCAAUGCAAAUUGGACACAUCAAGUGGUUAUUGACUUUCAAAUAUAUUAUUUAAAUUUC